rnacentral:rRNA from 1 species
UACGUAGGGUGCGAGCGUUAAUCGGAAUUACUGGGCGUAAAGCGCGCGUAGGCGGCUUUGCAAGUCGGGUGUGAAAUCCCCAGGCUUAACCUGGGAACUGCAUUCGAGACUGCAUUGCUAGAGUAUGGGAGAGGGAAGUGGAAUUUCCGGUGUAGCGGUGAAAUGCGUAGAUAUGUGGAGGAAUACCGAUGGCGAAGGCAGCCCCCUGGGAUAACACUGACGCUCAUGCACGAAAGCGUGGGGAGCAAACAGG